UACGUAGGGUGCGAGCGUUAAUCGGAAUUACUGGGCGUAAAGCGUGCGCAGGCGGCGCGUUAAGACAGGUGUGAAAGCCCCGAGCUUAACUUGGGAAUUGCGCUUGUGACUGGCGUGCUGGAGUGUGGCAGAGGGAGGUGGAAUUCCACGUGUAGCAGUGAAAUGCGUAGAGAUCCGGAGGAACCCCAGAGGCGAAGGCGGCGCACUGGCUCGCAACUGACGCUCAGACACGCAAGCAUGGGGAGCGAACGGG
rnacentral:rRNA from 1 species